rnacentral:snRNA from 1 species
UGCGUUUCUCUUCUUUUUGGCUAAGAUCAAAGGAUACUAUCUGUUCUUAUCAGCUUAAUCUCUGUUACGGCUUCCAUUGGGGAGACCCAGAAGAUUAAACUGACGGAGUGCUAGUAACUUGCU